AUUUAACCAAAAAAAAAAGCUUCACCGGAAUCUGAGUGUUUGUCCGGCAAGGCACAGAAGUCUCUCUGUUUGCUGCUGGAGAUCUCGAGGAAGCCCCAGAGAUGUAUGUCGUUCCUCCUCCAAAACGACCCGAUCCAUUGUCUGGAUCCGAGGACUUGCGGAUUUACCAGACAUGGAAAGGAAGCAAUAUAUUUUUCUUCCAAGGAAGGUUCAUAUUUGGGCCAGACGCAAGAUCCCUAGCACUGACCAUAUUUCUCAUAGUGGCCCCUGUCUCAGUUUUCUGUGUCUUUGUUGCAAGAAAGCUCAUGGAUGAUUUUUCAAAUCACCUGGGGAUAUUGAUUAUGGUUGUAGUCAUUGUGUUCACAUUCUAUGUUUUAGUUCUACUCCUUCUCACAUCUGGAAGGGAUCCAGGAAUAAUUCCUCGUAAUGCACACCCUCCAGAACCAGAAGGUUAUGAUGGUACUGUGGAAGGUGGUGGACAAACCCCUCAAUUACGUUUGCCUCGCAUUAAAGAAGUUGAGGUCAAUGGCAUUACCGUCAAGAUCAAAUACUGUGACACCUGCAUGCUUUAUAGACCUCCCCGCUGUUCUCACUGUUCAAUCUGCAAUAACUGCGUUGAAAGAUUUGACCAUCACUGCCCUUGGGUAGGGCAAUGCAUUGGGCUGCGAAACUACCGUUUUUUCUUUAUGUUUGUCUUCUCUACAACACUUCUUUGCAUAUAUGUUUUUGGGUUCUGCUGGGUCUAUAUUAAGAGAAUCAUGGUUCUAGAUGACACCACCAUAUGGAAAGCAAUGAUCAAAACACCGGCUUCCAUUGUUCUAAUAGCAUACACUUUUAUAUCAGUAUGGUUUGUUGGAGGUCUUACUGCUUUUCAUCUAUACCUCAUCAGUACUAAUCAGACUACUUAUGAGAAUUUUAGAUACCGAUAUGAU
rnacentral:misc_RNA from 1 species